UACGUAGGGUGCGAGCGUUGUCCGGAAUUACUGGGCGUAAAGAGCUCGUAGGUGGUUUGUCGCGUUGUUCGUGAAAACUCACAACUCAAUUGUGGGCGUGCGGGCGAUACGGGCAGACUGGAGUACUGCAGGGGAGACUGGGAUUCCUGGUGUAGCGGUGGAAUGCGCAGAUAUCAGGGGGAACACCGGUGGCGGAGGCGGGUCUCUGGGCAGUAAUUGACGCUGAGGAGCGAAAGCGUGGGGAGCGAACAGG
rnacentral:rRNA from 1 species